rnacentral:lncRNA from 1 species
CAAUUUAAUGUUUAUAUAUAUAAACCAAGAUGUUUAUAUAUUUUUAAGAAUUUAAAUUUGACUAUGUAAAAUAAUUUUACAUAAUCAUCCAAUAAUAAUCAAUUAAUUUGACAUGUCAUAUAAAAGAAGUGAGGUUAAGUGGUAAUGUGGCGAAAAACAUAAUUAUUAUUGAUGAUUGACCCUAUAAAUUUAUUUUAUACUGUCCAUACAUUUUUUUUUGUUUUUUUUUUUAAGAGAUGGGAACUAACCCAUGAUAUAUAUGUUGUCUUAUAAAAAUAUGUAUAAACUAAUUUAAACUGUAAAAUAAAACAUGAUUCUAAUAAUUUGUAAAAAGAAAUGUGCACGACAAAAUAUAUGUAUAGAAUACAUCAACUUUGAAUAGUAACUUCUUUACAAACAAUUCACUGAUCUCAUAAACUUUAAUUAAUUUUGUUAGUUCAAUGUUAUUGGUAUUGUAGUAUAUUUAAUAUAUUCGAGAAAAGUCUGAUUUAUCUACUUGUGCAACAUUUUUAAUUAGAGAUUAUAGAUGGUCUUUCUUGGGAGCUUUUCCUAACAAAAUUAUGUAUCCAACUUUUGUUUGAUGGAUUGAUAGCCGCUAGUAUAUGUAAUGAACCCAUCAUAUUGGAUAGGUCCAAAUAGGAGUUAGUCAACUUAAGCCCAAAUAAUGAGACUAUGUGAGGACAUGAGUUACUAUUAAUAGGGUAGUAGGGGUAUUUUGUGAGUUAUGUGAUUGGUGAAGUUGUUAUUCUUCUCUCUCAAACUCUCUUUUCACAUCUCAAAUUCUUUUUGUAUUGCAACUAUUUGAUCUAAGUUCAAUAAGAAUGAUUCCUAUCUUAGCUUUAUUUCCUAUUCAAUUUUAGUAUCAUUUCAUUGGUGCUUUCAUUCUCACCAUGACAGAGUACGUGAAGAACAUCGCCGAAAAGGAUCCAUGGGAUCGAUGGGAGAAAAUGCACGCUCGCAACAACGUUGCUUUCGACGGAAUCAUCUCCAAAUUGGAGAUUCUACUUCAACACUACAACUGUUCGCCGAGCUCUUCCCAUGGUGCAUUGAACUCACCCAAACACAUCCCUACAUCAGAACCAUCGAAUAUCAAUUUGUUGAUGUAUGAUGAAUUUCGUUCAUCUGCAAAACAGAUCGAGGUUCCUUCUGUUCGUGAGUCGAAAUUAGUGGAAGAAGAGAUAAUAGCNNN